rnacentral:rRNA from 1 species
AGUAGGUAGGCUAACCGUAAGGAGGCCGCUUACCACGGUGGGAUUCAUGACUGGGGUGAAGUCGUAACAAGGUAGCCGUAGGGGAACCUGCGGCUGGAUCACCUCCUUUC